UAGCUCAGAUGGUUAAAGCAUCUGCCUGCAAUGCAGGAGACCGGGGUUCGAUCCCUG
rnacentral:tRNA from 1 species